GGUUAAGAAGCUUCCCAGACAAGCAUGUGUUUUGAAAGCACAAGAAAAGAGUUAAAAUCUCUUAGUAACCU
rnacentral:tRNA from 1 species